GCCUUGCCCAAGAUGUGUUCUUGGCUGCUCCUGUCCCUGUCAGGCCCUCUCUGUUUUUACCCUGUUCUUAAGAGUAUGUGGCUCACAUGGAAACACACAGUAUCCUAAUAGUUUGUUUUUUGUUGCUGUGAGAAAACACUGAUGAAAAGCAGCUUGAGGAGGAAAAUGGUUUAUUCCGUGAUGGGGAAAUCCUUGUGUGUAUAUGUUUAUCUUAUUGGUUGAUAAAUAAAGCAUUGUUGGCCAAUAGGGGAGCAAGUUAGGUGGGACUAGGAGUUGAGGAGGAUUCUGGGAAAUGUAGUAGAGACAGCAGCCACCACGUGAUCACCAGGAAGACAGGAUAUAUUCCACCAGCGUGCUCAAUAAGAUAAGUUUAUAAAAUAUAUAGAUUAAUAGUUAUGGGUGAUACUUAAGACAGAGUUAGCAAAUAAAUCUUUGUCAUUGGCCAGAGGCACUGUACCUAAUAUAAGACUCAGUGUGUUAUUCUGGACGCCCACGUGGCGGCGGGGCUCGGGUGACGUAGCAGAAAGAUUUAUCAUUACCAAAUGGUGUCAGGACAUGGUUUUAUGAACUUCCACAUAAAAACUUCACAAAAACUUAAAAAGGGAAUUUAGAAGCAAAGGAACAGAGACAAGCACUACUUCUUGGUAGUGGUAUUUUCUCGGGUAGUCUCUGUUUUGCUAGAGACAAGCAGAUACUCAAGUGGCUCCUUUAAGAGAGGCUUCCUGACUCAGCAUAAUUGGAAAAAAAAGAAAACAAAAACAAAAAACCACAGGGCUCUUGCUAACAAUUGAAUGGUAUGUAUGAGCAGCUGGCAGUGGCAGCAACCACAUCUCCAAGCCGAAAGCGUGUUCCUUGAUGACAGCAUAGACCAAGGCAGUGAGCAUAGCUCUCAGUGCUGGCGGUAAACAUACCUUCGCCAUCUUGGAAAGACAUCCACUAAAGCAGCCACUGCUUUAAUUUUAGCAAUGCUGUUUAGCAGAUAAAAGAUCGUGUAGCCAGAAAAAGGUAAAGAUUUACAGUAAAGACAGAUUCAGAUGAAGAAAAACUCCUAAAGGUUUACAGUGUAUUUAAAAAUAUAUGUAGGCUUGUGAGAGAAAAGAACAGGAUAAAGUAAUUGAGAGAGAGAGAGAGAGAGAGAGAGAAGAGAGAGAGAGAGAGAAAGAGAAGCCAGUGGUGGUGGCACACGCCAGUAGGAUUUGCUGAAGGAAGCAGAGGCAGGCGGAUUUCCACGGAGAAACCUUGUCUCAGGGGGGGGAAAAAAAGGAAGUAAAAGAAAUAGAAUAUUAAAAAGCCAGGUAAAGAUGGAAAAUACUCACAGAGUCUGGAUACUAUAUGUUAUACUGUUGUCUUUAAAUUGUUUGAUUGCCGAGGAAAGAGCUACAGCUGAUAAAACACAUUUGAUUAUAAGUGCUACUCAAUUAGUCCAACUUAUAUAUUUUUAAAAUGCUUUGACUUCUAAAUUUAAAUAUAAGGACAGGUUACUUGGGAGAAGAAUUUCUACUUACGUUUCCACAUAAAAUGGAAAGCUGUGGAUUCCUUCCAGACUAAUUUGGUUUGAUCAAGCAAGACCCCCUGAAGCAGUGGCCCAACCGAUCCUACAUCCAAAACAGCUGAGACGAUGCAGCCUUGCAGACUACAAAAACAAGGAACUGGCCUGAUUUCUGUGUUUUAUCAUGAUCCCCCAUGGUGUGGACAUCACCCCCAACCAGCAGGAAGCAGUUUGGAACGAACGAUGCCCAAGUUCCCAAAUAUUGUUUAUAAAUGUUUGUUUUCAUUUAAAUAGGGUUGGUUAUAAAUGGUAAUGAUCACAGUCAAUCUCUUUUUAAAGGAAAAAAGGGGAAUAGAAUAUAGAAAUGAAUACAUUGGUAUGGAUUUUCAUUUAUUGAUACAAAUUUAAGGUUAAUUUUGUUAUAUGUAAAUUUCUCCUCUUGUUUGGUAUUGUGUUUAUACAGAUCUUUUAAAAUGUAAUGUAUAAUUAAAUGCAAAUUAUAUAGUCACCUAUAAUAGUCAGAACUUAUAAUUAGGUUAGUUAGGUUUUCUAGCUAUAGAGAGAUGUGUUUGAGAUGGAUAGACAAAGACCUACAGAAUAUAUGGCAUUUAAAUGGUUUAGGGUUUUUCAUGGCAGUGAGACACAACUGCUCCUGGCACACCAAUUACAUCUGAGAGGAAGAUGGGCAUUGAAGAAACUCAUUAUGGAGUUUGCUUUCAAUGUGGCAAGAUUAGCCAUUUGGGCAAGAAACUGCUCUUGUCUGGACUGUUUGAUAAACUGGACAUGCAGGACCCACAGGAAAGUGACUGCUGAACUUAGAAAACAAGAUGGAAAGUUGUGAAGAGUCCCUGCUUCAAGGAAGCAUCUGCCAGACAUUCUGCAGGACACAGAGGAAAUUGGCUGACAAACUGCCAAUACAGGUGGACAGUUUAAAAUUUCCUGCUUCACUGAGAAGUCUGCCAGACAUACUGUGGCCUAUAGACUGAAGACAGGAUAAAUUCCAUCAGUGUGCCCCAACGUUACAAAGGAACUUCGGGUCACUGUCCAGGCAGCGAGAUAUCUCUGUCAGUUCUAGAGUUUAUUUAUUAUCCUUCUGUGGUCUUUGUUGGAGUUGAAGACAGAUAGUUAUGGUUAUAGUUUUCUUUAGUUAUUAUAAAAGAUAAGCUACAUAUAAGACUUUAGACUCACAAAGAUGGGAUAGAUGAUAGAAUAUUUUCUUUAAAUCUUGCUAAAUGUUAAUGGACUAAAUAUUGUAACUAUAGUUCUUACUUGAUAACUGUUUUGUUAUAUAUUUUACUAUGUUAAUGUUAACACCCUUCUUUUUACUUAGACAGAAAAGAGAAAAUUAUGGGGGAGGUCCUUGUGUGUAUAUGUUUGUCUUAUUGGUUGAUAAAUAAAGCACUGUUGGCCAAUAGGAGAGCAAGUUAGGUGGGACUAGGAGUUGAGGAGGAUUCUGGGAAAUGUAGUAGAGACAGCAGCCACCAUGUGAUCACCAGGAAGACAGGAUAUAUUCCACCAGUGUGCUCAAUAAAAUAAGUUUAUAAAAUAUAUAGAUUAAUAGUUAUGGGUGAUACUUAAGACAGAGCUAGCAAAUAGGAAAUCUUAGUCAUUGGCCAGUAGCAUUGUACCUAAUACAAGACUCUGUGUGUUAUUUUGGACACCCACAUGGCGGCAGGGCUUGGGCAGCUUGGCAGAAAGAUUUAUCAUUACAAUUCCGUCUUACAGCAUACUGUCCAUCAUCCAGGGAAGCUAAGGCAAACCCAGAGGCAAGAACAGAAGCAGAGGCCAUGGAGGAUAAUGCUCACUGGCUGCCUCAGCUUGUUCACUUAUACAAGCCAGGGCCACCUGCCAGGGGUCACACUAUCCACAUCAAUCAUUAAUCAAGAAAAUGCCCCCCUCAGACUUGCUCACUGGCCAAUCUGAUGGAGGCAACCCCUCAAGGAAGGGGUCCACUUUCCCAGGCAUCAGGUUGAAAAAACCAACCAGCACACACAGGCUAUCAAAUGCAUGGCUAAUUCUACAUGAGAAGUCCACCAACUAUAUGUUAAGAGUUGUCUUUGUCAUGGUCUGUGGUUUAGAGCACUUAAUUGCUCUUGCAGAGGGCCCAAGUUCGAGUCCCAGCACCCACAUGGUGGCUCAAAACUGUCUGCAACUCCAGUUCCAAGGGAUCCAGUGCCCUCCCCUGACCUCUGUGAGCAGCAGGCCAGCAUGGGACAUUUAGGAGAUUACUGAAGAUUGAACCCAGAGACCCAGCAGGGAUGAAGACUUUCCCUCUUCCUCCAGUGAACUUCAGGCCCAGAGCACUUAUGCCAAUCUGAUGGAGGCAAUUCCUGGUUGACAUUCCCUCAUCCCAGAUGGCUCUAGCUUGUGUCAAGU
ensembl:lncRNA